rnacentral:rRNA from 1 species
GUGCCAGCAGCCGCGGUAAUACGUAGGUGGCAAGCGUUGUCCGGAUUUACUGGGUGUAAAGGGCGUGUAGCCGGGCUGACAAGUCAGAUGUGAAAUCCGGGGGCUCCCCCCCCGAACUGUAUUUGAAACUGUUGGUCUUGAGUAUCGGAGAGGCAGACGGAAUUCCUAGUGUAGCGGUGAAAUGCGUAUAUAUUAGGAGGAACACCAGUGGCGAAGGCGGCCUGCUGGACGACAACUGACGGUGAGGCGCGAAAGCGUGGGGAGCAAACAGGAUUAAAUACCCUGGUACUCCACGCUGUAAACGAUGGAUACUAGGUGUGCGGGGACACACCCCCUGCGUGCCGCAGCUAACGCAAUAAGUAUCCCACCUGGGGAGUACGAUCGCAAGGUUGAAACUCAAAGGAAUUGACGGGGGCCCGCACAAGCGGUGGAUUAUGUGUUUUAAUUCAAAGCAACGCAAAGAACCUUACCAGGGCUUGACAUCCUGCUAACGAGGUAGAGAUACGUCGGGCGCCCUUCGGGGAAAGCAGAGACGGGUGGUGCAUGGUUGUCGUCAGCUCGUGUCGAGAGAUGUUGGGUUAAGUCCCCGCAACGAGCGCAACCCUUUAUUGCUAGUUGCUACACAAGAGCACUCUAGCGAGACUGCCGUUGACAAAACGGAGGGAGGGGGGGGACGACGUCAAAUCCUCCGUGCCCCCUUAUGGUCCUGGGGCUACACACAUAAAUACAAUGGGCGGUAAGACAGAAGGGA